AUGAACGCUGGCGGCAUGCCUAACACAUGCAAGUCGAACGAAGGCUUCGGCCUUAGUGGCGCACGGGUGCGUAACGCGUGGGAAUCUGCCCUCAGGUUCGGAAUAACAGCGAGAAAUUGCUGCUAAUACCGGAUGAUAUCGCGAGAUCAAAGAUUUAUCGCCUGAGGAUGAGCCCGCGUAGGAUUAGCUAGUUGGUGUGGUAAAGGCGCACCAAGGCGACGAUCCUUAGCUGGUCUGAGAGGAUGAUCAGCCACACUGGGACUGAGACACGGCCCAGACUCCUACGGGAGGCAGCAGUGGGGAAUAUUGG
rnacentral:rRNA from 1 species